UACGGGGGGAGCAAGCGUUGUUCGGAUUUACUGGGCGUAAAGGGCGCGUAGGCGGCCACCGCAAGUCGACUGUGAAAUCUCCGGGCUUAACUCGGAAAGGUCAGCCGAUACUGCGGGGCUAGAGUGCAGAAGGGGCAACUGGAAUUCUCGGUGUAGCGGUGAAAUGCGUAGAUAUCGAGAGGAACACCUGCGGCGAAGGCGGGUUGCUGGGCUGACACUGACGCUGAUUGUGCGAAAGCUAGGGGAGCGAACGGA
rnacentral:rRNA from 1 species